rnacentral:lncRNA from 1 species
ACUCAUCUAUGAUUACAAAAUACCUUGCUCGGAUUUUGGUAAGAAUUGCAUUGGACCUAUAAAAUUAAUUUGGGGAGAAUUGAUGCUUUUACUAUGUUGAGUUUGGAAGCCCACUUUUGCACUACAAUUUAGUGCUGAAUAUGUAUAUGCUUUAGCAACCUCAUAACAACGGUGUGCUGGCACAUAAUAGGAGCUUCAUAAAUAUUUAUGGCAGGGAGGAAGGAUGGGAAGGCCAAGUGAAGUCUUGAAGAGUUUGGAUCAGUUGUCCUUAAAUCUGGCCACAGAAACAACCAUCUGCUGAGCUUGGUAAAAGUACAGAUUUCUGGGCUUCAUCUCAGCCCUACUGAUUCAGAAUCUCCGGGAUGAGGCCAGUGAAUCUGUAUUUUGAACACCUGCUAUAGUUGAUCCUCAAGCACAGCCAGGUUUGUAGCAUGUAGCAGCCAACAAUGGAAGCAGUGUGCAGGCGCUGAGCUGAGUCUCCUAGGAAUUAGCUGUUCUUUCUGACAUUUGCCCUGAAACAAAGCAAGUGGUAGCUGCAAUUGAGUCCACCUAAGACAAAUUAACAUGUUCUUCCUGAUAUAUGGCUCAAAAUGAGUAUAGCAGCCUGGGAGUCAAGGGUGGUCCUUUCCUACAAGGAGGAGGACCAGAUGUAUUUUGAGCCUGUAUCCACCAAUUUCUUUUCCAAAGAGGAAAUAAGCAACCAAUGUUCAGCAGAAUGUGAGCAGUUCCAAAAUUGUAAAUACUGUUAUUUAAUCACUUCAUUGCAUACUUGAUUAGUUCCCUAACCUUGAGGCCUGUGAAACUGUAAUGAUGCACCAGGGGAGCUGGCCUCAGCUCUGAGAGAAUUUAGAACAAGGCUG